GGCUGGAGGGCGGGGCCGGGGCUGCCGCUCUCCCCCGUGCGCGCCCGCUGUCUGCAGUGGCCCUGCCUGUGGCGCUCCCGGCGUCGCCCCUUCCCUGCUCGGGCCGCGUCUCGGGAAUGCUCGGCCGUGCCGCCCGGCACAGCGUCAGCCUGCGCCAGGUGCCGGCCCUCGACUGCAAGCUGCCAGUUCGGCCGCUCGGCUCCUGGCGCUGCCGGCUCCGCACCGCCGCGUCUCGUCCCCAGGGUCGUCGCCGCUGCGCCCCGGGAGCGCUGACUGCCCUGGGCCGCUGUCGAGCUCGGGCAGGGCGGAGCCAAAAUGUCCCCGGAGUCCAAAAAGCUCUUCAACAUCGUCAUCCUAGGAGUCGCCUUUAUGUUUAUGUUCACCGCCUUUCAAACUUGUGGCAACGUGGCGCAAACUGUCAUCAGGAGCUUAAAUAGCACGGAUUUUCACGGCAGUGGAUAUACCAGCAUGGCAAUUAUUUAUGGAGUGUUCUCUGCUUCAAAUUUGAUUACACCAUCAGUGGUUGCCAUUGUAGGACCUCAGCUCUCUAUGUUUGCCAGUGGUUUAUUUUACAGCAUGUACAUUGCCGUUUUUAUCCAGCCUUUCACAUGGUCCUUCUACACUGCAUCUGUUUUCAUUGGAAUUGCAGCUGCUGUACUUUGGACAGCACAAGGAAACUGCCUGACAAUAAAUUCAGAUGAGCACACUAUCGGGAGAAACAGUGGAAUUUUCUGGGCACUCUUACAGUCCAGCUUGUUCUUUGGAAAUCUCUACAUAUAUUUUGCCUGGCAAGGGAAAACUCAAAUAUCAGAGAGUGACCGAAGAACUGUGUUUAUUGCCCUGACAGUGAUUAGUCUUGUGGGGACAGUUCUAUUCUUUCUCAUUCGGAAACCAGAUUCUGAAAAUGUCCUUGGAGAAGAUGAGUCUUCUGAUGACCAAGACAUGGAAAUGAAUGAGUCUGCCCAGAACAAUAUGACAAAGGCAGUAGAUGCAUUUAGUAAGUAUUUUCUGUGUCUGAAAUUCAAGAACUGUUCAGGAGCACCUUCAGCGUUUGCCUUUCCCCUUUCCCUGGUAACUUUGGAUUGACGAUCCCUCAGUAUUUUCAUUUUUCCAGAGAAGUCUCUCAAGUUGUGUGUCACCAAGGAGAUGCUCCUUCUCAGUGUCACUACUGCUUACACAGGUUUGGAAUUGACUUUCUUCUCUGGUGUUUAUGGAACCUGCAUUGGUGCUAUAAACAGGUUUGGAACAGAAGAGAAAAGCCUCAUUGGACUUUCUGGAAUCUUCAUUGGUAUUGGAGAAAUUUUAGGUGGAAGCCUCUUUGGCCUGCUGAGCAAGAAUAAUCGUUUUGGUAGAAAUCCAGUUGUGCUUUUGGGCAUCCUGGUGCACUUUAUAGCUUUUUAUUUAAUAUUUCUAAACAUGCCUGGAGACGCCCCAAUUGCCCCUGUGGAGGGAACAAACAGCAAUGCUUACAUCAGGUCCAGCAAAGAAGUUGCCAUUCUCUGCAGUUUUCUUUUGGGUCUUGGGGACAGCUGCUUCAACACCCAGCUGCUUAGCAUCUUAGGCUUUCUCUAUUCUGAAGACAGUGCACCGGCCUUUGCCAUCUUUAAGUUUGUUCAGUCCAUCUGUGCGGCUGUGGCCUUUUUCUACAGCAACUACCUUCUCCUUCACUGGCAGCUCCUGGUCAUGGUGGUAUUUGGGUUUUUUGGAACUAUUUCAUUCUUCACUGUGGAAUGGGAYGCUGCUGCCAUUGUGGCCCGGGGCUCUGACUACCGAAGUAUCUGAUGAGGUACCCGUGGGAGGCUGCACAGCUGGUGCUCCAGAGCACAGUUGAAGUGACUUCUGUUGUCCUCAUAGUACAGUGAAUGAUGUUGAGUGUGGAGAAUCAAAGAGUUCAGACUUGAAUCAGCCAGAGCUGGAUUAAAGUUUACAGAUAUUAGUUAUUUAAAACCAGUGUAAUAAGGGAAAUCUAUCRGUUAUAAUUGUUCAGCGAUACUGCUUUCCGUUUAUCUAUCUCAAGCUCCUUACAAUCACAUUAUAGAGUGUGAAUGUAUUCUUCUGCCUCGAGAAUUCCAGGCCAUAUGUCGUGUAAGGAUUCUUGCUGGGUCUGGAGUGUGUUUUACUACAUAGUAACAGAAGCAUAUGCCUCUCCACAUGUGUAUCUGGAAUGACAUUCAAAUAGCGAUGUGCUGACAUUUAGUCUAACUUUGAAAAGGUUUUUCCUCGUUUCUUUGAUAGAUUUUCUUACCUCAUAGUUCAUACCAAGGAGUGGCCAAUUAAGUAUAAAAUGAGGAAAAAUUAUCUCAAGUCUUUAAACAAGAAUAUAACAUCACAGCAAACAAAACCAUGUUUAGAAGAGUAAACACAUUUACUAGGGGAGGACUUUUGCUAGUAAUUUUCCUGAAAGAUACAAUGCAAGAAAGAAAGAAAAACUAGAGGGAGGUCUGAGCCGGGGGGCAGGAUGUUGUCACUUAAGUGUGAUCUUAUAGCAGAUGCCAUUCAGUCUGGGAGUGGAAUGUAACUAUAUAGGAAAAUGUUUAAGUGGAAAUGUUAACUUUCCUCUAUAAGAACUCGCUUAAAAUUUUUAUAAUUGAGAUGUAAUUCAGAAAUGAUAAAAUUCAUCAUUUUAAAAUGUGCAAUUUAAUGUGCUUUUUUAAAAAGUGUAUUUGGUAACCAUCACCAUUAUCGAGAACAUUUUCCUCACCCCAAAAAGAAGCCCCCCACCUGUCAGGCACUUCCCUUCUCUGGCUGGCAGCCACUCAGUGCCUUCUGUCUGUGCCCUUGCCUGUUCUGGAGACUUCCUGGAGAUGGGAGAGCUCGCGUUCAGUGUGAUGCUUACCUGUACCAAUGAAGAGCUGUACGACAAGUGAAUCCAGCCCAGAGGACAAACAAUACCUUGUUUUCUUUUU